rnacentral:rRNA from 1 species
UACGUAGGGUGCAAGCGUUGUCCGGAAUUAUUGGGCGUAAAGAGCUCGUAGGCGGUCUGUCGCGUCUGCUGUGAAAAUCCAGGGCUCAACCCUGGACCUGCAGUGGGUACGGGCAGACUAGAGUACGGUCGGGGUAGAAGGAAUUCCUGGUGUAGCGGUGAAAUGCGUAGAGAUCAGGAAGAACACCGGUGGCGAAAGCGGCUAUCUGGACGGUUUCUGACACUAAGACUCGAAAGCGUGGGGAGCAAACAGG